GUAAACGCUUAGCACCUAAUAUCUUCUCCUUUACUAAAGCACUUUCAGGACUUAGACACAUGGGGUGAUUUUGUUAACAACUCAUUCAUAAUUUUUGAAGAAAUUGUUUAACGCCUUAUUACAAACAUUGCGGUUUCUUAAAUAAUUUUAGACUAUAGUUAAAAAGGCAAUGGAUAUGUUCAGAAAGAUAAAACCAAAGAACACAAAAAGUAUUGAAAAACACUUGGGACACGAAAGUAAGUAUGCAUGCAACACCUGCAACACCUGUCAAACUUGUUUGUCUGUUUAUUACUUUAGCAUAUCUUAUCUGAGUCAUACAUAAGUCUCUACUCUUAUAUACCAGUAUAUAGAACAGAAGAAAUAAUUUUAAACAUGAAGCUAGUGUUAGAAGUUUCUUUUUAGUUCAGAAUUUUUAUUGGGAAAACACUAACUGUUUGGUAUCCAUUGCAAGCAAGUAUUCAACAGAUAAAAACAAGUUCAUCAGGUCUUUAAGAAUCUUGGAGUCCAUUCACCCAAAAUUAUGUUCACCCCAUUUCACAAUUCAACAUUGCUUGAUCGCAGCUGUUUUAAAGAAGUAAAUUGAUUUGACAUGCUUUUAAUAAGUGUAUUGCUAUAGAUUACAGAUACAUUUUUUUUCUGAAUGUUUACAAUUGCAAAUAAUAAGGCACUAAUUUGAAAUGUAACAAUAAUAAAACAUCCUUUGUGUUAUUAAAAUGUUUACAAGUUGUUUUGAUAUUUAUUAUUGUGUAUGCAUACUAAAGUUGAGAAAGAUAUAGCUUGACAAUCAUGAAUGCAUGUUACAGCUUGUACAUGAUUAUGUGUUAUUACAGAAAAAAAACAUCUGUUAUAACUACAAAUGUAGGAUGAUAUUCCAGCUACAAAUCAGGUCUCGACAAUAACACUUGUCUGAUUGUCCGGUACCAGAGGGAAAAAAGGUCGGACAAGUAAAAGCUGUAUCAAGCUUGUCCGUUGGGACAAGUGCAAUUAUUCUGCAGAAAAUAAAUUUAAUCCAAUUUUGAUGAACAAAGUAAUUAUAAACAAAAAACAAGAAAAACAAAUAUUAAUUUGACAUAUUUCUGUACUCUGUUUAUUCAAGUGCAAAACCUUUUUCUUUGACAUGUUUACUUUCAAUCGAUCGAUAAUUUUAUAACAGGUUCUUUGUCAAGUACAUUUUAAUAUUGGUAAAAGAUAUACUAUUCUUGAAACCAGUCUUUCUAAUCCGAAUCAAUGAUGCGCUUUGUAGAUAAGGGGACGACAUAUUUGAUAUUCUGGGAGGGGGGGGGAGGGGGGCAGGAGGAUUUUGAAAAUGAAUACUCUCAGCCUUGAUAAUCACAAAAAAUAAAUGGUUUGUUCGGUAGGUAGUUUGAAAAUAAAUAACCUGACUUACAAUGUAUUGAAAAUAAAUAACUCAGCAGGUCUAAUCGAAAGUAUGAGAUGGCAUCAGAUUCUUCAUAAAAUUCAUCUUUUUCCCCAAAAAAAUUGGGAAACACUUCCCAAAUCUUUUAACAAUAAAAGUAUAAAUAUUAUCAAAUAUACUUGAAAUGUCUGAAAAUGGGUUUCAUUUAACUUGAGGUAUAUUGUCUCAGGAACACUUACCUCAGUCACUUUUAUUACAGGGAAGUAACUUCAUUGAGGCAAAGAGGCUCAUGUAGGAAAUUUCAAAACCAAAAGCUUAUCUAUAUAAUUUGUUUUCACUGAGAGCCUUCUUGCAAGAAAAAAGUUCUGUUCUCCUUGGACAUUGCCCCUGUUUUUUCAGAAUCAAUGUUUCUUAUUUAUUUGUCUUUUGUUCAUUCUGUAUUCUGUUAGUUAGUGUUGCAUUCCUUUUGUAAUUUAGUAAUUUUGUCAUUAACUUAAUCAUGAGUUUAAAAAAAACCAACAGCAGUCACAUACUUAUGAGAAUUACAUUUUUGCUUUAUUCUACAUUUUGGUCUUUUAAUGUUGUCCCUAAAAACUUAAUUCUUACACUGAAUCUACACAUUUUGCUUUGAGACCAAAAUAUUGUCAAAAAAUGAUUACAGCAGAACUUGCAUUUUCAGAUUAAAAAAAGGUCUGGGAUUAACGAAAGCAUGAUUUAGCAUCAUUUGUUCUAUAGCUUCUUGGGGCCUUCAGCAGCAUCAAAACCCUUCCAAAAAAACUUUGCCUCGCUCCACUCGGCAAAAUAGGUUUGCCAAGAAUUAAUAAAAUGGCAAGUUGCAGCAAAACUUUAAUACUGUGUAUGUAUGAAAUACAUGUGUACGCAGUUGGCAAGAUUCAUUCCUGCAGAGGAUAAUUAAUUCUAAUUAAAUGGUACUUCAAGUUAAUGACAAUGAUUAUACAUAAUAGUUACAUGUAUUAUUUAUAACAUGUAUAAUAAAGUUCAUUUAUAAAUUGUAUGUUUUUAAAUAUUAUAAAUAUAGUUGUAAAAAUGAAUUAUCAGUCCAUUGUUUUAAUGAAAAUGAAAAAUCUUGCUUCAACAGUGCAGAAAAAUACAUAACUGAUCCAAAACAUUUUUGGACCAAGACAAAUCAGUACCUCAUUUUGCUACCUUAUUCUGUUCCUUAUAAUAAACAUGAUAAUACCAUACCCGUAAUUUUUUCACAAAAAUAUUUAUUUUUAAAAGAAAUUUUUUGGACAAGUAACAAUUUCAUUCGGACAAGUAAAUUUUAGUAUGUACUUGUCCUACAGGACAGGUUGAAAAAAAAGUUAUUGUAGAGGCCUGCAAAUGUACAUGUUCUCUACAUCAUCACUUCAAAGCCUUUCUGAGACAUCUAGCAUGUUUAAAUUAUUCCCAAUGUAUUUUAAUUAUUGUAAUAAAAAAUAAUCAGAGCAUAACAUAAGGUACAUGUACUAUGUACAUAUGUAAGCUUCAAAGUAAUUCCCGUUUCCCAUUCUGAAAUUAAUAAUAUGCCAAUGUACCAGUCUUUUACCUUUUUAUCUUUUACUAAGGCCAAAGACGUAUAAUUGUAUUAUACAUGUUAUAUGUCUCUUCUUGGGCUAAUGAUGACUUUUCCAUUCUGUAAAAGUUUAUUUUUUACUGAAGUUUACAAAUCAAUUUUAAAACAUGCAUGCUUUAUAAAGUAAACCAAACUUUCUUAACAUGUAAAAUAUUUAUUAAAUUAGAAUAACAAAAAGGUUCAUUGUUGAUCAUAAACACAGUUAAAAAGUAUUUCAUUGUAAUCAGAAUGUAAUCAAAAAGUAAUCAGGAUUACAGGGUAUUUUGAAAAGUGAUUGAUUAAAUUAAAUUACAUGUAAUCAGAUUUUUGGCUGAUUAAUGAUGACAAUGAAUACUUGCAAAAUUGUUGAUUAACAAUUACAAUUACAAUUAACCCAUGUCUGAUGUACCUUAUUUAGUAUUUUAAAAUGUACCAGUAUUGUUUCACUUGUGCUUUUUUUUUCCCAUCUUUAAUUGUUUAAAAAUAAUCAUUGUAAUCAUUGUUUAUAAAUUCAAUUGUAAUCAUUCAGCUCAGCUUUGGGCGCUGCGAUUAUUCUAUUCUAUUCUAAGUAGUUGAGGAACACAUAUUUUAACAUUUCCUAAUCAUAUCAAUUUUAAGUGUCAGUACGUGUAUCUAUAAUGUACUGUCAUAUGGGAAAUCCCCCAUAAUUAGGGAAGUUUAUGAAUCUGAUCACAGUAUCCAGAAAAGUUUCCUGUUAUCAUGGUUAUGAUGGUUAUGUACGUAAUUAUUUGCAUUUUGCAUAUAUUGAAUAAUAUUUUGUAUGAAACAUGUAAAAUUCAAAUAUUUUUUGUGGUAUGUAGUAUAUUUUAAUUCACAUUGAGGGUGGGUGGUAUAAUUUUAAAAACCAUUAAUUAAUAUCUUUUGUAUUUUUUUUAUCUGCUGCCUUGUCAGAACUUGGAGAGGGUUGGAGUGAGAAUAAAGAAGCUGUUUCUGACGGUCUGACAUUUCAUUUGAAGUACAUAGGAUCUACACUUAUUGAAGAAGCUGCUGAUGGAGAGAGCUAUCGAGAUGGUCAGAGUGAAAAAGCUGUCAAUAGUAUUGUUGCCAUGGUAUUUAAAAUUUAAUUAGAUCUGCUUAUAUACGGGAUUCAUUUGCAUAAUGAACAUUUAAAAGUUAAUGUCUAAAAAAAAAAUUUGUCAUUUGAUUAUUGCCUCAUUUUGCAAACAACUAUCUUUACCACGUUAACAUCAUAUCAUACAAUUUUCAUAUAUGCUAUAUUUAUACUGCAAUUUUACAUAUUUGCACCAAAGCUAAAAGUUUUAAACUGGUUUUUACUUCCUUUUUGAAUGAAAUCAUUAUGUCAGAUAGAUGGACCAUGAUAAGGAACCCCUAAUUCAAAUAUGAUGUUCAUGUAAACAGUAAUUUGAAUACAUGUACCGGUACAUGUAUAACCAUGAUAACUCACAAAAAGCAGGAUACCAAGAGACUAGAAUCGCUUCUUGUUAUCUGUACCCCUGUAUUUGUAUAUUUCAAGGUUGGUUACAGUAUUAAUAAUGAUCAUGGUUAACUUUAUGUCUGUUUGUCUAACUUAUUUGAUUUUCUUAUCUGCACUGUUAAGUGCACAUUGAUUUGUAUCCACUUCUAUGUCCAAUUUGAAUCUAGUAAAAUUUUCUCAGAAUUUCCACAAUAUAAUUUUUUGAUUUUCCUUAGCAAAUCAAGGACUUGUCAUUGCUUACCUAGGAAUACUUUAAGUGUACUUGAUUCAGACCCCUUAUUAUUAUGAUUUAGUGUAACUAUUAGAAUUCAUAACAUAAAUUACCAUUUUGCAACUUCUCUCCUUUUUAUUAUGAAAAGCAAAAAUGACUUCAGUCUACAAAUGUACAUACCGGUAAGUUACCCUACUACAUGCGUUAUAGUUAUCUAUUAUCUUUUUUUUGCUAUUGGAUAUCAGAUACAUGUAUAUCAUGUUAAAAAAAAGACAUUAAAUGGAGACAUUUACUUUAUAAAUUUGGAAAUUAUUGCGUGCAUUUAUUAUUGCAAAUUUGUCAUUUUGGACUAAAAAGUGAUUUUAAUUUAGCAAUAUUGAGAAAAAUCCUGUUUAGUUCAUAUAAAAUAUUUCAAAAUGCGAGUUUUAAUCAUUGCGAUUAUAACCCUGUCACAUUUUUAGCAAUAAUAAAAUCAUCGCAAUAAUUUCUGAAUUUGCAGUAAUCUACAUCCACUUAGUUUUUUUUUUGAAGCCUAACACCAUUACGUCUAAUUACAUGAACAUGUAUGUUUACUUCCUCGUGACUUUAGAUAUAUAUAAUCUUACCAAACACAUCCUGUCAAUGUUAUCAUCAGGAAACAAUGUUAUGUAUUAUACUAAAUUAAGUGGUUUUAUACAAUAUGGAAACUGAGAUAAAAAUCUGCCAACAUGCACUUUGCACCAACUCUUAAUAAAGGUUUUGACGCAUUGUUUUACAUGUGCCAGUAUCUGAAAAAAAUACUUUUAAAGACCAUGUUAAAUCUGACACCAGCAACAAAUGACAAAAUCAAAAGCUCAAAGUCUCAAACACUUUUUAAACAAUUGGAAAACAGCUGUCAUAUAUACAUGAUAUAGGAGUUGAUGAGGGUUUGGAUCAAGGGUUAAAUGAUUAAAGAAUAAUGCCCUUAAAAAAUGAAGAUAAGAGAAUAAUGGGCAAAAAAAAUGAAAAUUAGAGAAAAAAGGGGUUAAUUUUUUGAAGAUUAGAGAAAAAAAGGGUUAAUUUUUUAAUGAUUAGAGAAAAAAGGGGUGAAAAUUAAAUGUUUACAGAAUAACAGACCCCCCCCUAUCCAGACCCUUGUUGAUGGUUCAAGUUACAAAAAAUGUGAAUCAACUUUCAUGCAAUAUGCAUACUCAAAUAUAUUAUGUACUUAAUUAACUAAAUUGAUAAUCAAAUAUUAAAUAUCCAUAUUAGACAUUUUUAUUUCGAAUACAUUAGUUUUAUAUUGUAUAAUUAUUCUAUUCUCAGGCAAAGACGGCUAAAAGUAAAUUAAGAAAAGUAACACUGACAACUUCACCAGAGGGUAUGAAAGUUUUAGACAUGGCCUCAAAAGAAUUGUUGAUUGAAUGUAGUAUAUUUAGGUAGGUAUAUAAUUCUUGACAAAAGAAUUACAAAAUCAUUCAGGUAUUCAAAUUCCUUAUCUGGAGUAAUUUUCAUUCCCAACACUUUAAGAAUCAGAAAAACUUAUUAUAGCUUUUUAUGUGCUAAAUACUUAAAUUUAUUUGAUAAUAUGAAUGAAAGAUAUCAGGUUAGAUUAUGAAAGAACAAGAUACAUGGUAUGACAUUAUGUACCAGUAGUUAGGUUUCUUAAUUUAGAUAGUUUUAGCAAACAGUCAACUAUAUAAGAUGACUGGAAUAAAUGUAAGCCGACUUACCUAUACUUAUCUCAAUCUGAUGUUGAACUCAUUUCCAUAGAUUGUUGCAAUUGAUAUGUCUCUGUUUGUGUGAUCCUUGUUUAAAAAAACUUGAUCAAAAAGUCAUGAUUAGUAAAGCAAAGGAAACUUUUGACUUUGCACCUGGUUAUAUUAUGAUAUUAUGUAUAUAAAACUAAGAAGAUUUGGUAUAAUUGCCAAUGAGACAGGUUUCUUCCAGAGACCAAACCAACCAUAUAAAGUAACAACUAUUGGUCAUCAUACAGUCUUCAAUCAAUGACCAAAACUUACAGUGCAUAGUCGCUAUAAAAGGCUGUGCAAUGACAAAUGUAAACAAUUUGAACAAAUCAUGUCAUAGUUGUUUAUUUGAUCAAUUUUGUGUUGGACCUUUAUCAGGACUCUGGGAUAGUUUGUUUUUAAGCUCUAAAUUUCGGGAUUAAUUCGUUCGGGAUCCGUAAAUUCUUUUUUCGAAUUUCAGGAUGUCGGUUUUGAAAUAUCUUUAAAUUCAGAACCUCUGGAUUUCAUGUUUUUAACCUCGAGAUUUAGGGGAAUUCAUGACUCCUCCGACCCCUCCUCUUUAAUGAAUUUUUAAUAUUUUUCAGAAUAUCUUUUUGCUCUGCUGACAAAAACCAUGAAAAAAUAUUUGCCUUUAUGGCAAGAAAUAGCAUUAAUGAAACUAUGGAGUGCCAUGCUUUUCUGUGUGCGAAGAGAAAAAUUGUAAGUAUUUUUUUGUCUACAUAUUUUGAUUUUAUGAUUUGUUUUAAAAUGUUCUGGUACACAAUAUUGCUCAAGGAAGGCACAUGCUAAAAAGAGGAACAUAUCAGGUACAAGAGAUUUAUUAACAAAUGAAUGCCUGGUUACCUGUACAAUUUUUCACUAGAUUAAUUAAAAGAUUAAUUGCCAAAAUAGUCACACAUAUGUAAUUUAUUUGAAUAUAUCCGUAAAUAUAAAUGGAAUGGAAAUGGGGAAAAUGUCAAAAAGACAACAACCCGACCAAAGAGCAGACUACAGCGGAAGGCCACCAAUUGGUCUUAAACACAACGAGGAAAAUCCUGCACCCGAAGGUGGUCCUAAGCUGGCCCCUAAUUGCAAUUGUGUACUAGUUCAGUGAAAAUGGAUGUCACACUAAACUCCAAAACAUAUAAAUGAACUAGAAUUAAAAAAACCACAAGACUAACAAAGGCCAAAGGCUCCUGACUAAAACAAAUCUAUUUUAUUGUUACAGGCACAAGCAGUUACAUUGACAGUGUCCAAAGCAUUCGAAUUGGCCAGUGAAAAAUGGAAUACAGAAAAUGAAAAUAAAAAUUCUGUAAGUUAAACAUUUCAUCAGAUAUUCAUUUUGAGGUGCCAUUUUUAGUAAUUUUAGCAGAUAGAAAGAAUUUAAAAGUCUUAGAUUAUGGACAUGUCAACAUUUAAGACCACCAAAGAUUUAAAAAAAAAAAAUUCUGGUUUGUUGUUCCAGGCUAGGGUUAUGGGACUUUUAACAGUUAUUGUACAUAUGUUUCUGUACACCUAAGGGUAUCCUCAUAUAGGUUUUUGUGAAGAGUCAUUUUUAUUUACCUGUGAUUAUAGAUGCCUUUUAUUCAAUUUCAAUAAGCACAAGACAGACUUAUCAUGCUCUCUUGGCAUAGCAUUUUGUUAUCCAAAGUUCAUUGAAGAAUUGGUAAAGUUAGUUUUGGAAGAAGAUUUUUAGAAAUUUUGAAAACUUGUGAGGCUCUGAUCAAUAUUCUGAGAGAAUUCAUUAUAAAAUGCAUAUGUAUUCAAGUUCUACAACAAAAAAGAAAUUAAAUACUAAUGGGGAAAAAUUUAGUAAAAUACCAAAAUAUUAUGCACAAAAUAAGACAAGAUCCAUUUCCAAAAAUCUUUUGACUUUCAUUUCAGCAAACUUUUUCCAUAGUAUUAUACAGCUAUAAUAAUUGUACAUUUCAGCAAAUAAUUGCCUCCUCUGAUAACUGGGUAAAAUAAGUGUUAGACAUACUAUCUUAAAAUAUUGAAAAAAAUCUACAAGGUUAUAUGAUUCUGGAAACCAUUCUGGAAAACACAUAAAUGACCAAAUAAUUUCAUUUUUCACAAACAGUGGACAUGCACACAUACUUAAAUUCUAUUUAAAACUUGACCAAUCCCUUCAUAUAAAAGACUUACAAUAGAUGGAUGGGUAUUGAUAAAAAAAACAAGUCCUUAAUCUAGAAAAAUUGGAAAAAAAAUUAAAAUAGAUAAUUAACAUGAUUAAAUAUCUUACAUCAACAAUGUUUGCUCCAAAUAACAAAAAAAAACAUAUACCAUUAGAUAACAUAUGAGACCCUUUUUUUGCUUUUCAGAAUGAGACUGCACAGUCAAGAUUGGAGGAUAACAAUUUCAAUAAUAUAACAACUAACUCAAAUAAAAGAGAUGGUAUGUAUAGGUAGGACUCAAUUCUAUGGUGGGUUCCAAAUCUAUGGCAAAUAUGACGUUAUAAAUCAAAUCUAUGGCAGUUUUUUGUAUUCUCCAAAUCUAUGGCAGAUCUUGAAUUUGUGUAAUUUUCCAGGAAAAACAUAUAACAUCACAAUCAAAUAGUACCACAUUAUAACCCACAGAUUUGUACACCAUUUAUUUAAGGAUUAUUUUUUUAUUUUUAAUUAAAAUAUAAAUCAAAAACAAAUAAUUUACAAGGGGUUUAAAGAUUUUUACAAACAAAUGCACAAUACCCUUUUUGCAUUCCCUCUAGAACAAUUUGGCGAUGGUUUAAAGGAAAGGAAGAUGUGCUGAACCUUCUGAAUCAAGCCUUAAAUAAAGGCACCGCUGAUUUUAGUAGUGAUAUUUUUGUUAGGAAAGAAGUUAUGAAUUUUAGUGUUUGGUGUGUUUUGAAGUUCUGGUAACAAUUUCAUUUAUUUGGAUUAAUUUAACUAGAGAGGGAAAUGAUAAACCGAUUUCCACCUUGAAGCAAUUUAUUUAUGUGAUACCUUUAUGUUAUACUUUUAUGUUUAAAUGUAAAUUUCAGAAAAUAGUUCACCAAUACCAAAACUACAGUCACCAAAAUCUGUAAACAGAUCCUCACCAACACCUAAACAGAGUAAAGAAUGGGUAAGAUCUAUCACUGCAUCCUUUGAAAAUAAAAUUAUUCGAACGUUAAGUCCAGUAUAUCUAUAAAUGAUGUACAUGUUACACUUUUGUGUUUUAGUAAAUCUUGUAUCAUAUCUGCCUUGAUCUUUUAGUAUCUUGGUGUGAUUUGUGCGUGCUCAGAAAUAAUAUCAGAAGUGACAAAAGCUACGACAACAAACAUUUAGUAUGUAACAAUUUCCUGCAAACUUUUAUGUUUUCAGAUUUUCUUGAUACUUAUUUCUGUUAAGGGCAAACAGACUACCUCUUCUUCUUCUUCUUCUUCUUCCGAAUACGGGAGUAGACUCCUAGGUAGGAGUGUAAAACUUCCUGGAGAGUGAAUUGUAGUACAAUUGUGUCCAACCACCAAAUAAAUGUUUGUGACAAAUUAAAUUCGGAUAGUUAAGAAUGUUACUGCCCGUAAGAAUAUUAUUAUACACUGAGUGAGAGGUAUAAAAAUAUGCAUAACAAUGUUAAAUAUUUUUGAACAUAAAGGGGAGCAUAAAGGGGAGAAUAAUUCAUUUUGUACUGCAUUAUCUUUUAUUUUGUAGCUGAAAUUUGAAGAUGACAAUUUAGAUGAUGAUUUUUCAAGGUAAUGCGUUUAUAAUGUAUUUAUUUAGGGCUAUUCCAGAAAAAAAUGUAUGGGGGGGUUGGAAGGCACAUUAUAUUAAUAAUACACGGGUGAUGGGUAUCAGAGCAACUUUUCAUUUUGCAUAAUUUAGUCAUAGUCUGGUUUGAGACAUGGUUAUUUUGUUAAAUUUAGGGUCAACAUAUUCCACCAUUUGCCCUUCAUAGUUAUUCUAACACUACAAAAGGGGUGGGUGGUGGGGUUUAUUGGUUUACUUUUGUCGUCUGUCUGUCUGUACAUCAUGUACAUAUUUUCAUGAAAACAAGGAGAUGUGGUAUGAUUGAUUGUUUUAAAUGGUUGCUAUGGAAACAAACUAGUUAGUAAAUUCAAAAUUUUAACGUUUUUGUAUAGUUUGGGGUUUUGUUUGUCAAUACUGUAAAUAUUCAUAUUGUUUGAAUUGAUUAACUUUAUUUCUAUGGGACUUUAAAUUCCCUUAUUUUAUAUUUUCAAAAGGGUCUUUUUUUCACAUAUUCAGGCAAAAUGUUGAUUUGAUGGUUACCAUGGCAACGGGCUUAAUACAGGGAAAAUAAAGACAGAAUUUUACUCAUCUACCAAAGUUCUUAUGAUAUAGGGCAAAAACAAUUACUUCUGUGACAUGUCAUGAAUCACCUUCUGCAUGAUUUUUACAAAGACCGGUACUUAAUGAGACAACUAUUCAUCAGAGAUCAAAUAUAAGCACUCUUAUUUAUGUAGUGUUCAAAGUUAUAUGGGAAUAAAAAUUAUCCUUAAAUUGAUAACGGAUAAAUAUCUUGUUAGGGUAGCAUAUAAUUUGUUAAUUAAGUAAUGAAUAAUGUUCAGUCUCUGUAUUAAUGGAGUGACAUUAUCAAUCCACCAUUCUGUCUUUCAAGAAGGCCCAUCAGGGAUUGAAAAAGGUCAUUUAGUUAUCACUAGACGCUGUUAAUUAUGUGUAUUUUGGUAUUGCAUAUACUUUGUCAUGUUUGUAUUUGUCAUAAAUUUAUUAUUACUGAUAUUUCUUGCAGAUAUAGAUUUGUCUAUGUUGUCUGUUCAGUAUUUUUUUUUUUAUUAUUUUUUCCAGGCUGGCAGAAAAUAGAAUAAGAAAAGUAGCUGAAGGACCACCUAGAAUGGACAAGAUACCAUCCUUCCAUACAAAUUUAAAAAAAGAAGAUAUGGACGAUUCUAUUACAAAAUACCUAGACACAAAAACAUGUAAUGAGGAAUUUUCUCGCCAAAGGUCAAUGGAAGAUCUGCUUGUAAUAUAACUGCCUAACUGCCGCCUGAUCUCACUAAUAACCACACAGGGUACUGAAAUCAUCCAUUCAACCAUAAUACCAGUGCUAUAGAUCUGACAGGUAACCAGUCAGGAAACCAAAUCAUGCCAUGUGCUUUUAUUGCAGAUCUGACUAAGUACCAAAAGUAGGGUACACAUGUAUCAGAUAAUGCCAUCCAAUUAUAAUCACAAGUGCUUAUUUGUUAUUAAGUUUUUGUAGUGCUUUGUAUUUGUCUCUAUGAGAUAUAUAAAUGCACUUUUAAUGUUGCUCAGAAAUUAUUUUUAUAGUUUGGGUUAUGCAGGAUGUGAAUAUAAGUUUUUUUAUGCAUGUUGAAAGUCUUAUAGUCUUAUGUUUUUUUUCCCCCAUAAAAAGGACCUUCUAAAGAAAACUUGUUCUUAAAACUCACACACUUUAAAUUUGAUUAAAGUUAGUAAGAUCAUUUAAACCAAACUGCAUCCAUUUCCUCUUGUUGUUACCUGAUUUAUAGAUAACUGCUUUUUUUCCCUUAAACCCCCUGCCCCCCCCCAAAAAAAAAAUAUAAAAAAAUUUACAAAUUUUUGUCAACAUAUCUUGGAUUGCUAAUUUAUAAUUUUUGAAUUAAAGAAAAUUAAUUACUUGUGCAGUUGCAUUCCCUGUUCUGGUUAAUGAGCUUAUACAUUUGUGCCAUUUGCUGUUAUACGUUUUUUAUAACUUUUUUUUCUCAGUACUUAGCUAAAGCCAUGUGUUUUUCAAAUUAUCGAGAUUUUAGCAAUAUUGUGAAAGAUUAAAAACAAGGUUUAUGUCUGGAAGUGAGUAAGAGUUGAUUAAAAUAUUAGUAAAAUAUGGAAAUGGAUACAUUUUUUGUUUUGUUAUUCAAGUUCAUUUAAUUAAUUAUAAACAUGCACAGAAACAAAUCUGAAGCACUUACACAUACACACACAGAGAAAAUUUUAAACUAAUAAAUAGCAUUCAAAGGAAUAAUGAUCAAAAUAAUAAAAUGUAAAAACCCUCAAGCCUUGAAUUGAAUCCUAUCUAGCAAUUUAAUUUGGUUAAUACACAAGUGCCUGAAUAUAUAGAUAAAGAGAAUUCAAAGUAAAAACUUUUUGAAAAAAAAUUUUAAAAUGAAUAAUUGAUAAGAAAAUAAUAAAAGAGUUGCCAAACUAUGUAAGAGCCGUCAAUCCUUCAAAGGAAUUUGCAUCUAUCUAGCAUUGUCAUUUGAUUUCUGGGCAAGUGCCUAAACAAGGUUUGUAAGAGCCGUCUAUCCUUCAAAAGAAUUUGCAUCUAUCUGGUAUUGUCAUUUGAUUUAUAGGCAAGCAAGUUCCUACAAAAAGUGGGUAAGUGCCGUCAAUCCGUUAAAGGCGUUGUCAUCUAUCUAGCAUUGUCAUUUGAUUUCUGGGCAAGUGCCUACAAAAAGUGUGUAAGAGCCGUCAAUCCUUUAAAUGAGUUGACAUCAAUCUAGCAUUGUCAUUUGAUUUCUGGGCAAGUGGCUACAAAAAGUGUGUGAGAGCCGUCAAUCCGUUAAAGGCGUUGUCAUCUAUCUAGCAUUGUCAUUUGAUUUCUAGGCAAGUUCCUACAAAAAGUGUGUAAGAGCCGUCAAUCCUUUAAAUGAGUUGACAUCAAUCUAGCAUUGUCAUUUGAUUUCUAGGCAAGUUCCUACAAAAAGUGUGUAAGAGCCGUCAAUCCUUUAAAUGAGUUGACAUCAAUCUAGCAUUGUCAUUUGAUUUCUGGGCAAGUGGCUACAAAAAGUGUGUGAGAACCGUCAAUCCGUUAAAGGCGUUGUCUUCUAUCUAGCAUUGUCAUUUGAUUUCUGGGCAAGUGCCUACAAAAAGUGUGUAAGAGCUGUCAAUCCUUGAAAUGAGUUGACAUCAAUCUAGCACUGUCAUUUGAUUUCUGGGCAAGUGUCUACAAAAAGUGUGUGAGAGCCGUCAAACCGUUAAAGGCGUUGUCAUCUAUCUAGCAUUGUCAUUUGAUUUCUGGGCAAGUGCCUACAAAAAGUGUGUAAGAGCCGUUAAUCCGUUAAAGGCGUUGUCAUCAAUCUAGCAUUGUCAUUUGAUUUCUGGGCAAGUGCCUACAAAAAGUGUGUGAGAGCCGUCAAUCCUUUAAAUGAGUUGACAUCUAUCUAGCAUUGUCAUUUGAUUUCUGGGCAAGUUCCUACAAAAAGUGUGUAAGAGCUGUCAAUCCUUUAAAUGAGUUGACAUCAAUCUAGCAUUGUCAUUUGAUUUCUGGGCAAGUGCUCACAAAAAGUGUGUGAGAGCCGUCAAUCCGUUAAAGGCGUUGUCUUCUAUCUAGCAUUGUCAUUUGAUUUCUGGGCAAGUGCCUACAAAAAGUGUGUAAGAGCUGUCAAACCGUUAAAGGCGUUGUCAUCUAUCUAGCAUUGUCAUUUGAUUUCUCGGCAAGUGCCUACAAAAAGUGUGUAAGAGCCGUCAAUCCAUUAAAGGCGUUGUCAUCUAUCUAGCAUUGUCAUUUGAUUUCUGGGCAAGUGCCUACAAAAAGUGUGUAAGAGCCGUCAAUCCUUUAAAUGAGUUGACAUCAAUCUAGCAUUGUCAUUUGAUUUCUGGGCAAGUGCCUACAAAAAAUGUGUAAGAGCCGUCAAUCCUUUAAAUGAGUUGACAUCAAUCUAGCAUUGUCAUUUGAUUUCUGGGCAAGUGCCUACAAAAAGUGUGUGAGAGCCGUCAAUCCGUUAAAUGAGUUGACAUCUAUCUAGUAUUGUCAUUUGAUUUCUGAGCAAGUGCCUACAAAAAGUGUGUAAGAGCUGUCAAUCCUUUAAAUGAGUUGACAUCAAUCUAGCAUUGUCAUUUGAUUUCUGGGCAAGUGCCUACAAAAAGUGUGUGAGAGCCGUCAAUCCGUUAAAGGCGUUGUCAUCUAUCUAGCAUUGUCAUUUGAUUUCUGGGCAAGUGCCUACAAAAAGUGUGUAAGAGCUGUCAAUCCGUUAAAGGCGUUGUCAUCUAUCUAGCAUUGUUAUUUGAUUUCUGGGCAAGUGCCUACAAAAAGUGUGUAAGAGCCGUCAAUCCUUUAAAUGAGUUGACAUCAAUCUAGCAUUGUCAUUUGAUUUCUGGGCAAGUGCCUACAAAAAGUGUGUAAGAGCCGUCAAUCCUUUAAAUGAGUUGACAUCAAUCUAGCAUUGUCAUUCGAUUUCUGGGCAAGAGCCUACAAAAAGUGUGUAAGAGCCGUCAAUCCUUUAAAUGAGUUGACAUCAAUCUAGCAUUGUCAUUUGAUUUCUGGGCAAGUGCCUACAAAAAGUGUGCGAGAGCCGUCAAUCCGUUAAAUGAGUUGUCAUCAAUCUAAUAUUGUCAUUUGAUUUCUGGGCAAGUGCCUACAAAAAGUGUGUAAGAGCAGUCAAUCCUUGAAAUGAGUUGACAUCAAUCUAGCAUUGUCAUUUGAUUUCUGGGAAAGUGCCUACAAAAUGUGUGUUAGAUCCGUCAAUCCUUUGAAGGAGAUGUCAUCUAUCUAGCAUUGUCAUUUGAUUUCUGGGCAAGUGCCUACAAAAAGUGUGUUAGAUCCGUCAAUCCUUUGAAGGAGAUGUCAUCUAUCUAGCAUUGUCAUUUGAUUUCUGGGCAAGGGCCAACAAAAAGUGUGUAAGAGCUGUCAAUCUGUUAAAUGAGUUGACAUCAAUCUAGCAUUGUCAUUUGAUUUCUGGGAAAGUGCCUACAAAAAGUGUGUUAGAUCCGUCAAUCCUUUGAAGGAGAUGUCAUCUAUCUAGCAUUGUCAUUUGAUUUCUGGUCAAUUUCCUACAAAAAGUGUGUAAGAGCUGUUAAUCCUUUAAAGGCGUUGUCAUCUAUCUAGCAUUGUCAUUUGUUAUUUGGAUAAGUCCCUAUAUACACAGAAAAUUUGAAACUGCAGAAUAGCAGUGGACUGACUAUAUACUAAAAAAAGUAUGUAAGAGUCCUCAAACCUUGAAAUGAAUUCUCAUCUAGCAUGGAAAUUUUUUAAUUGGUGAACGAAAACUGAUUGAAACAUUGCGUACAUCAUGUACAUACCAACAGAUAAAUAAUUUUUUCAUUUUUCUGGUCAGUUUAUGAAUUAUUUAUGAGAACAGAAAGAAGCCUAAAACCCACAUGCACAAUCAGCCACAGAAAAUUUUAAGAACUUGAAUUGCUAGUCUAAUGAGAGAAAAAAAAAUGUAUGUAAAGACUUCAAAACUUGAAAUUAAGCAUGCAUACACAGUGAGAUUUAAGUUGCAAAAAGUUGUUUGCUGGAAUUGAGAAAGAGUUUUUUGAAAACUGAAUUAAAUAUUGCAUAUAUACACAGGCAGAUGAAUAAUUGAGUUGGCACUGAUUUUUUUUCUCUCACCCUGUUCAGUUAUUUGAUUUUUAAAUACACAGAAAAUAGCAUUUAAAGAAUAUAUACUUAGAUAAUUUGAAACUGGUGAAAAGUAGUGAAAUGAAAAAUGAAUCAAUUUGUUAAAGCCUUUUAACCUAGAAAUGAAUUCACAUCAAACGUAAGGAAUUGAUAAUGGUACCAGUUCUCAAAUACAUACAUAGAGAGUGAUUCUUCUUGAAAAGAGUUGUAUAUGUGAAUUGAGAAAGAGCUAUGUGAAAACUGACUUACAAAUUGCAUACACUAAUAACUUAUUGUGUUGGCCCCAAAAGUAAUAUUUAUUCCUGUAUAAUUCAUAAAUUAUUUAUAUGCAUUAAAAAAAAAACCAAAGCACAAACAUACACACAGAAAUUUAAAAAAAUGUUUACUAGCAGUCAAAUAUAUAAUUAAAAAGUAUGUCUACUUUCUCCCUAUCUUGAACAACCAAUAUUGGCCUAGAGCUGUUUUCUGCUCUUUGGUUGCAUUACUGUCUUUAUUCCCCAUUUCCAUUCUCAAACAUCCCUCAAACCUUGAAAUGGAUUUGCAUCUAUUGUUGUAAUUUGAUUGUUGAUCAAGUCUGAAUCAAGUCCAAUAAUUUGAUUUCUAGACAAAAGCCUACCAAAAGUGUUUAAGUGCCGUCAAUCCGUCAAAUGAGUUAGCAUCAAUCUAGCAUUGUCAUUUGAUUUCUGGGCAAGUGCCUACAAAAAGUGUGUAAGAGCCGUCAAUCCUUUAAAUGAGUUGACAUCAAUCUAGCAUUGUCAUUUGAUUUCUAGGCAUGUUCCUACAAAAAGUGUGUAAGAGCCGUCAAUCCGUUAAAGGCGUUGUCAUCUAUCUAGCAUUGUCAUUGAUUUCUGGACAAGUUUCCAUUCUCUUUUCCAAGAUUCUUCAAACCUUGAAAUAUAUUUGCAUCUAGCGUUGGUUAUUUGAUUGUUGUGCAGGUCCUCAAGUUCAUUUAAAAUCCUUAAAUUGCAGUCAAAAGGAAAUGUAAUAGUCUUUAAGAGCAGCCAAUCUUUAAAGAGAUUUAUGUCAAGUGAAGUAAUUUUACGACAAGUUUCUGAAUACAUAAAAACAAUGAGAGUGCACUAAUAAAAAUGUUUGUAAGAGCUGUCAAACCUUGAAAUAGAUUUGCAUCUAAUGUAAUAAUUUGAUUUCUGUUUGCACACAUACACCCUCAGAAAAUUUGAAACUCUUGAAUAGCAGUCUUACUAAUACAUGUAAUAAAUAUUUAAAAAAGUCUGAAAGAGCAGUCAAUCCUUUAAAGACAUUUUCGUCAAGUGAAGUAAUUUUAUUUGUUAGAGCCGUCAAAUCUCGAAAUACAUUUUCAUCCAGUGUUGUAAUUUGUUUGCUGUACAAUUCCUCAGAUACAUUUAAAAUUCUUGAAUAGCAGUCAAAAUAAAAAUUAAAAAUGUCUUAAGAGCAUUCAAACCUUUAAAGAGGUUUUCGUCAAGUGAAAUAAUUUUAUGUAGAACAAGUUCAUGAAAUACAAUGAGAGUGCACUAAUAAAAAGGUUUUUAAGAGCAGUUAAACCUCGAAAUAGAUUUGCAUCUAAUGUAAUUAUUUGAUUUCUGUUUGCACACAUACACCCACAGAAAAUUUGAAACUCUUGAAUAGCUGUCUUACUAAUACAUGUAAUAAAUAAUUAAAAAAGUCUGAAAGAGCAGUCAAUCCUUUAAAAACAUUCUCGUCAAGUGAAGUAAUUUUGUUUGUUAGAGCCGUUAAUCCUCGAAAUAGAUUUUCAUCCAGUGUUGUAAUUUGAUUGCUGUACAAGUCCUCAGAUACAUUUAAAAUUCUUAAAUAGCUGUCAAAAUAAAAAUUAAAAAUGUCUAAGAUCAUUUUAAGAACAAGUUCCCAGAUACAUAAAUACAAAGACGAUUGCACUAAUAAAAAUGUUUGUAAGAGUUGUCAAACCUCGAAAUAUAUUUGCAUCUAAUGUAAUAAUUGAUUUCUGUUUGCACACAUACACCCUCAGAAAAUUUGAAACUCUUGAAUAGCAGUCUUACUAAUAAAUAAUUAAAAAAGUCUGAAAGAGCAGUCAAUCCUUUAAAGACAUUUUCAUCAAGUGAAGUAAUUUUGUUUGUAAGAGCCGUUAAUCCUCGAAAUAGAUUUUCAUCCAGUGUUGUAAUUUGAUUGCUGUACAAGUCCUCAAAUACAUUUAAAAUUCUUGAAUAGCAAAAUAAAAAUAAUUAAUUAAUUAUUAAUUAAUAGAUGAUAAAAACGUCUAAGAGCAUUCAAACCUUUGAAGAGGUUUUCGUCAAGUGAAAUAAUUUUACUUAAGAACUAGUUCCCAGAUACAUAAAUACAAAGACGAUUGCACAAAUAAAAAUGUUUGUAAGAGCUGUCAAACCUCGAAAUAUAUUUGCAUAGCUGUCUUACUAAUAAAUAAUUAAAAAGGUCUGAAAGAGCAGUCAAUCCUUUGAAGAGGUUUUCAUCAAGUGAAAUAAUUUUACUUUUUCGACAAGUUCCCAAAUACAUAAAUACAAAUUAAAGAGGACUACUAUAAUAAUUAAAAAAGUCUGAAAGAGCCGUCAAAAGAAAAAUAAAAAAGUCUGUAAGAGCAUUCAAAUCUUUAAAGAGAUUUUCGUCAAGUGAGAUAAUUUUAUUGUAGGACAUGUUCCCAAAUACAUAAAUUCAAAGAGGAUUGCAUUAAUAAAAAUCUUGAAAGAGCUGUCAAACCUCGAAAUGGAUUUUCAUCUAGUGUAGUAAUUUGCUUUCUGUUUGCACACAUACACCCUCAGAACAUUUACAACUCUAGAGUAGCAGUCUUAUUAAUUAAUAGAUGAUAAAAGAGUCUGAAAGAGCAGUUAAUCCUUGAAAUAGAUUUUCAUCCAGUGAAGUAAUUUGAAUUUUUAAAUUCUUUAAUACAAGUGAGAUUAAUGUGAAAAAAAGUUGGCCACUGGAAGUGAGAUAAAGCUGUAUCGAAACUGAUUAAAAUAUUGCAUACAGUACCUGACAGAUUUAAAAUAAUAAUAAUAAUUAUAAUUCUUUAUUUAAAAUGGGUUUCACUGUUAGCUAUAAAACUAAUCUUAUCUGAGGCCCUCAUAAAAUACAAUGAAACAUAACAAACAAUUACAAAAUAUUAAAAAAACACACAUAUAUGAACAAAUGAAAUAAAAAAUUGUUAAGAAAUAUACAAUUUUCCAAACAGGUAAAAAUUACAAAUUCAUAUAGUAUUGGCAUCAUUUAAAUUACCUCAAAAACAUCUUAAGUUUGAUUAAGUGUGUGAAAAUUAUUAUGCAUAUAAAAUUUCACAGCUUCUUAAUGUUCCAAUGUUAUUAUUCAUGUAUGGCUAAAUGAUUAACGUCAAAAUAGGUUUAAGGUCUGCUUUAAAACAUGAAAAAUUCUUGGCCUCAGAUAGUUUUGCAGCUUAAUUAAUGAUGAACUUGAAUACAAAAAUCUACAUCUUAGUUGCACCAUUUUACAACAGUAAAUUAAUGGUAGUCUAGGUAAACUUAAGUGUAGAUCUUCUGAUGUGAAAUAUUUAUGAUCAUGUGCAUCGUUUUGGAAAUGUUCCAUACAGAAUUCUACAUGUCUGUAAUAUUUUUUAUUUUUUCCGUUUUCAAAUGUAUUGUAAAUUCAGAAAUAAUUGAAUGCAUUUAUUGUUGCGAUUUUGUCAUUUAAGACUAAAUUUUGUGAUAUUGAGAAAAAUCCUGUGUUAUUCAUAUAACAUAUUUCAAAAUGUGUGUUUAAAUUAUUGCGAUUAUAACCCUGUCACAUUUUUCGCAAUAAUUUCUGAAUUUACAGUAUUUGUGAUCAAAUGCAUUGUUUUGGAAAGGCUCCAUACAGAAAGCUAAAUGUCUGUUAUAUUUUUAAUUUUUUUUCCAUUUUUGAAUACAUGUAUUUUGAUGUUGAUCUGUUUAUGCUGAAAGCAAAUUUGUAGUUUUAAUACAUUUUGCAUGAAAAUAGUAUAACUGUCAUCACUGUUUUUUUUUCCGUUCAUGAAUAUUCAUGUAACAUUUCAUUUGCAAGAAAGUCAGUGCCAAAAGUUUGGCAAGCAAAAGAUAAUAGUAACUGCUAGUAAUUUCAAGGGGGGGGGGAAUAAAAUGACCUAAUAGAAUUUGCUUUUCUUCCUGGUUUCCUCAUAUGAAGCCACACUUAAAAUAUUUUGGUUGGCCCAAACCCUACCUAAAGAUUUAGACUGUGGGUAGGUAGGUAGGCAUUUUCUUGGGAUUUUUCGGCAAGAAGAAAUUGAACUGUCAGCUGUUUUUAGUGUUCAUGCCAACUGAUUAAAAACAACCCCAACUUUUUAACAUCCAGACAAGAAAAGAUUUUGAGUAGGUAAAUAUUUUCUGGUAGGUUAGGUAGGUUUAUGGCAAACAAAUGUUAUCUUUUUUAUGACCUGACCGACCUCCUUUUGAAAAAAGAGUAUGUUUUAUUAGCCUCUAUUAUUUGCUUGCAUUUUCUACCUCAUAUUCCCCUCACUCCUCAGGCUUCCUAGAGUAACUGCAUUAGGGGAUUUAGUUGAUUUUUUAAGUCUAAAAAAUAAGUAUUGUAAUCUACUAGUCCUGUGUAAAUGAAGGUGAAUUCUUUGAAGCCAGAGAAAAUAAUUUCCUAGAUUCACAUCUCUGAUUUUCACUGUAUUUAUUUUUUGCAGUGAUUUGUUUAGAAAGUAAAAGAAAUAUGUAUUUUUCAAGUGGGAAAUUGAUUAUACCAGGAAAAUAUAAUGACAUUUUACCUGUUUGCAAAUUUUUUAUGAAAGUUGAUGUGAAUUUAAGAAUUAUUUUGUAUGGCCUAAUCAAAAGUUUUUGCAGCAUUUAGUAAUGCACACAGACAAAAAAAUGGCUUCUAAUAUUGUUUUCAAAAUCUAUUGAAUUGCAAUUCUAAGCAUUAGUUAAUUUUUGGAAGAUUAAAACACACUUUCAUUUAUAUAUUUUUUUUUAAAUGUUUUUUUUUUGCUAUUCAAAGUCAAAAGGGACUGAUCAUGAGUUUAGAAACAGGGUAUACUGAUUCUAAUUGGUUAAAAUGAUUUAUAAAAAAUGUAAUAUUACCAAGCACUUGUCUGUUUAUAUUUUUUGGGGAAUUUAUUGUUUUGUUUAGGGAUUCUGUCUCAUUUAUGUAACAACAAAAUUAUGUAUUUACAUGCCAUGUCUAGAAAUUAAGCUCAAUCCGAAAUGUAUUGAAUCAAUGCCAAUUUGAAUUUUAUUUUUAAAAUUUAUUAAAUGAAGUUUAUCACCAUUUUAAUUAAAUGUAAAAUGAUCAAAUAAAUGAAUAAUUUUCAAAACAAGAACCUAGAAUUAAAAAAAAAAAAAAAAAAAAUAAAUGUGUUGCUUACACAAUAAUUUGUGAAUUUAAAAGAAAUCAAUAUAAUAUUGCUUAUUCAGCCUUAUUUAUAGCAGACAAAUUUAUUAUUUCAAUGUACCUUUUAUUAUAAUCUGAUGUGUAUAUCAAAAGUUUUUAGAUUAAAUAACAAAUUAAAUCACAACAUUUGUAUGUAUAGAUACUGAAAUUAUAUUAAUAAAUAAAAUGCAAUACCUCAUGUAUGAUAAAUGGGGUUUUACUUGCAAUAUAAUGACUGUGUUAUCAAGAAUAAUGUAUAAAGAAAAUAAUAUGUUAUAUAUUGUCCAUAUAGUCUAUGCAUUACACAGUAAUACACAUGUACAAUAGUUAGAAACUAAUUGCUUUAUAAUAUCUAGUUAUAAUUAUAAGUAACCAUACUGAUGGGCCAAGGAAACUUAUCUUAAUUGAUGCACUACUUUUGAAUGAGGAUGGAGUUAGGGUAUAGAAAGGUUUCAAUAUGACAUAAUUUGAGUGAGUUAAUUCCCAUGGCCCCCAUUUUAAUAGUUGACUUUUAUUUGACUAACCAAAUGAAACAUGUUAUACAGCCUGGUCUGAUAAGAGAUCCUUACUAGAUCGUAGUGAAAAACAAACAAAGCUUCAGGAAAUUCAAAUUUGUCAGAAAACAAGCAACUUUUUCUAAUAUCUAGCUGUCAAGAUAUCAAGUUAAAUUUUGUGUAAAAAUGAAAUUGUAUAUAUAGAGCUCCAAAUUGGUUACUAAAGGGAAGUUACAUCUUGCUCAAAUUUUGUCAAUGGAAAUCGAUCUAUUAACAAGAGUCCACAGUAUUUGUGACUAGGAUUGUUUUAUGAACUUGCUUUAUCUGUGAUUUCAAUUUAAUUAACUAUAUAUAUAUAUAUAUGUAAUACCAAUGCAAUGCUUUAUUAUUUUUCCAUGCAAAGAUUUAUUCAUAUGUAUGUUUUAAUUUUAUUGCAUAUAUUUUACGAAAAAUAUGCAACAAGGUCCCUGGGUUAGAAUAAAUUAAUUAAAAAUGGUUGGCUGAAUUGACAUAACUUAAUUUUGCCAGUGAAUUGCCACAAUGUAUUUUAUAGCCUUCCUAUUAAUGUGUCUCAACUACAAAGUCAUUUUUCAUUCAUUAUUUUCAUGCUAAAUUCACUUUUUGAAGAUAUGUAUUUUUGUUGAAGAAAUUUUUCAUAAAAAAUAAGUGUUUUUCUUGGCAAAGCUAGAAAUACAUCAAUGUGUUCACAAAAUCCCAGAGAUUGGUCAGAUAUAUAAUUUGAUAUAAAACCUAGUUUAGAUAUAUUACGUGCCAUUAUUAUAUUCAUCAAGGUUGUUUAUGAGGUUAAAAUCUCUUUUUUUUUCAUAAAACCCAAAGGGAUCACCAUAGUCUAUUGUUAGAGUAAAGGUUUCCCCAACACCACUCUCAUUACUUCUCUCCCAACCCUGUGUCUUCUCACACGGUCAUUAAACUUCCUGUUAUAGACAUCAAACUUCAAAGUUUUGCUUUAAAUCUAUACUUUGAAUUAAUGACCAGAAUUUUCAUUGGCCAACUUUUAACCAUUAUAAUUGAUUGAAGUUUUCAUCCAACUUCAACUGCUUUCCACAUUUAAAACUAAUUCUGGUAAAUUUUAUAGAGUUAUCUCCCUGUUGUGUUAAGCUGUGUAUUUAUAUUUGUGAAUCUGCAGCAGUUGAUCGUAAUACCUGAUAAAUAAAUGCAACUUUCAUACAUGAUAAAGAGAAUUAUUCCACAAGAUUGAGUGUGAAUUUUCUUUUUUGAGAUUUUGUCUUGCACAUAUUUAACUUCUAUAUAUAAAUUUAAAAGUAGAGAAAAAUGUGUAAUUCUCUAUACAGGUACAAGUGAAAAUUUCAAAAAAAAAAAAAAGGAGGGAGAAAACCAGAACAGACACAAGUAUCAGAGUGGUCUAUUCUGUGAUGGUCCCAAAUCUAACUAGUCUUGUUUUUUCUAUGGUCGGGUUGUUGUCUCUGACAUAUUCCCAAUUUCCAUUCUCAAUUUUAUUAGUACAAAACUAAUUUGUUAUUGAAAAGUUUCAAUUUUGAUGAAACUCAUAUGGAAAAUAUUUUGUCUACAUUUUCUGUUGUAAGAUAUAGUUAUAUACUGUAAAAUCAUAAACUAGCAUUAAGGUGGUACCCAUGUGAAUUCUUGACAAACACAAAAAUGUGAAAUAUGUGUAAUGUGAAAGCAAACAUUUUACAUGUAUCAAGGAAAAUCACUACUGAAAUUAUUAUGGAGAACCUAAGACUGUCCCAUUUUCUCAUUAAUCAAUGAAUUUACAGUUCACCAUUAUUUUUUGACAAUGCUGCACUAUGCCACCAAAUCAUUUUCCAUGUAGUUAUUUUCCAAUCAAAUCACAUAAGCUGUAAUCAUUCAUGCAUGAAGUGAGACGCUUACAUUAUAAUUUUUGAUGAUAAACAGUAUCAGUUGGCAAGCCCCAUCAAGUUAAAACAUGUAAUACUAUUUAUAAUAAUUAAUAUUUAGUUAUAUAUUUCCCCUUUUAAGUUUGUACAAGUACAAAAUAUAUUAUAUUAAGCAUGAAAUGGAUUGUAAGUAUAAUAUUGUAUAUUGUUAAAAAAAAGUUAUUUGCAUUUUGCCAGUAUAUUUCAUUAUCUGGUUGUCAUCUUUAAUCUAUAACCAUGGUAACAGCUUUUUGUUUAUUUGUUGGCAUUUUUUUUACUAAUCAUUAUGCAAUGCAAGUUCUCAGGCUUAAGUUUUGUUUUAAAUGUUUAGUUUGUUACUUAGAUAUCUGAAUUUGUAGAUCUAAAUCAUGUAAUUUUGUUGAAAACUUAAUAAAUUUUUUAC
rnacentral:lncRNA from 1 species